CGAAAGCAGUGAUGCAGAGCAAAUCCCCAAAAGCAGUCUUAGUUCGGAUUGUAGGCUGCAACUCGCCUACAUGAAGUCGGAAUUGCUAGUAAUCGCGGAUCAGCAUGCCGCGGUGAAUACGUUCCCGGGCCUUGUACACACCGCCCGUCACACCAUGGGAGUCGGUAACACCCGAAGCCUGUAGUCUGACGCAAGAGGGCGCAGCCGAAGGUGGGAUUGAUGACUGGGGUGAAGUCGUAACAAGGUACC
rnacentral:rRNA from 1 species